CUAAUAUUUAUUCAUAUUUAAGGCAAUGUAAGAAGAUCCAGAGCCGUUUUCUACGAUUAGAUAUGGAGGAAUGAAUGCUCAUUCUGCUUUCCUUAAUCACACAAGUUGCAGACUCUUAAGAGGAAGCCAGUUAAAAUGUUUCACUGGAAAAUGAAAUAAGUCUCUCUGUAUCAUUUCACCCAAGUACUGUACUACUCUAUUACCUGGCGACAGCUUCACUCAUUAUGGUGGUGAUUUAAAUUCAGUCAAGAUGGACACAGCUGGAGGAAUGGAAGGCUUGAUCCAAACUGCUAGAUGACUACAUUAUGG